rnacentral:lncRNA from 1 species
GCGUGCUUUUUUUCCCUUUCAAUUCUUUUUUAGUUCUUCUUGUAUUUUUUCCUUUAUUUAUUAAUUUUAUUUUUAAAAUUUGCAAAAGGGAAAAAAAUCAAUUUUUCACCUUUUCAAAUUCAUGAACUUUUUUAUUUCAUGAAUUUUCAAAUUCGUGAACUUUUUCCAAAAUUCUUGCACAUUUUGUGAAAUUCGUUUUUUAAUGUAUGAAUUUUCUUAACCGAUAGAUAGCCGGAUCUAGUUUCUUUACCUGAGAAAGCAGAGAGUUUUGUUACUAGUAACACCUGACAAAGCAAACCUGUUACAGUAAAACAAUAAUUAAGCAUAUAUCCGGUUAAAAAAAAGGCAUAUCCUUUCACAUGACAAUUCUACCAGAUGUUGUAUGCUAUUCUUUUUAUUCUUUUUCCUCGUAGGCCCUAGUGUAUACUUUAUAAAAAAUCUCUGUGAUAAGAAAUCCUUACAGGUUUGCUUCAAAAAGAAAAUAAAAAACAAUUCUACAAGGCCAUUUACUAGCCAUAUAAAUCCAGCAACAGAAACACAUACUAUGAUAGUUUGAUUUUGCUAACCUACACAAUGUCCAGUCUCUAAUGGCUUGAUUCAGCUAACCUGCACACACGCACACACACAAAAAACUUAGUUCAGAUAUGCAGCUUUAAAUGAAAUACAAGCUCACAGUGGAUCAAACUUAAGCCACAAUGAUUUCGCAAAAGUAAUAAUAACCACAUUGGUUAAAUUCUGUGGGUUGAGUUUCCAGGCCUUCUGGGUCUCCUUAACAGCAGGUCUUCACUUCUCCCCACUUGGUCUGGUCUUGAAAAAGAAAAGGUUAAGUCAACCAUAUGAUUUAUUUAUUGCUCAAUGCUAAUAACACAGUUAUGAAUCCAAGUCCCACCCCUCUCACUUUCUAUAAUUAUGAAAUGCUCUACACUUUUACUGUCUUACACAGAAUUUACGAUGACUUCAAGCAGUAAAUGAUCUACCUCAUGACCCGUUGCGUGAUGUAAAUAGGGUGAUAAUAAUCAGCUCUCCCUCUCUCUCUUUUCGUACUUUGGAGCUUAAAGGCAUUCACAAACCUGGGGAACAACGAAACAGAGCACUCUGUACUUGUGCAGGGAUAAGUCUGCAAAAAAAAAGUCUGCGAGAGUACAAGGCAGACGCACACAUCAUCACCACCGGAAAUAAUGAACACGCGCUGGAAAUUAUAUAUGAACUUUGGUGGGGGCAGGAACAGUAUAGACUGAACAAAAAAAAAUUGGUGCGGCCUACUUCAAGAGAAAAUGGCGAGAAGUUUCCUGAUGAAUGGAUUGGAAAACAAUGUCGUGUCAAUACCCACAUUGAAUCUUUUGCUUCAGAAAGUGGACACUUUGAGACUUGAGAGCAACAGAAAGUGAACACGCUAGUGACACAGAGAGGACAAUGAAGUCAAAACUGAAGAAAAAGCAGGCAGAGAGGAAGAAAGUGACACCUCUCCCCUCUGUGACUAAAUCAGCCAAAAUGCCACCUGGGUUACUAGCCUCGGCCUGCUGAAUUCAGCUGCUUCUGCUACCUUCCAAACCACUGCCACGUUCGAAACCGAACCGAAGAAAUGGCCGAGAUGCCCCCCGUGAGGUUGCUUUUGUUGUCCCUCCUCUUCACCCUCGUGAUCGCCACGGCGAGGGACAGUGUUGGCAACCAUGAUGAUGAUGAUGGAGCCGCCUUGCUUGCUUUCAAGGUGGGUAUCAGGAGGGGCGGAAGCUCUGGCCCACUCCGCUCGUGGAACAGCAGCACCAGCUUCUGCAGCUGGGAGGGUGUGACCUGCGGCGGCGGCAGCGGCAGGGUGGUGGCGCUGGACCUGUCCUCCCAUGGGCUCGCUGGGAUGCUCCCGGCGGCCAUUGGGAACCUCACAUCGUUACGGACGCUCAACCUGAGCUUCAACUGGUUCCAUGGGGGCAUCCCGGCGAGCCUUGGCCGCCUUCAUCGUCUCCAGACGCUUGACCUGAGCUAUAACUCACUCUCCGGCACGCUGCCUGACAACAUGAGCCUCUGCACCGGCAUGACGGCCCUGGUCCUCGGCAGCAACAACCUCGGUGGGCUCAUCCCGUCCAGCCUCGGUGAUACACUGACCAACCUGAAGAAGGUCUCGCUGACGAACAACAGCUUGACAGGCGCCGUCCCAGCGUCGCUAGCCAACCUGUCGUUCCUGCAACACCUCGAUCUCUCCAUCAACCAGCUCGAGGGCUCGAUCCCACCAGGACUCAGAGGCCUCAGGAGCAUCUCUCACAUCGAUCUCUCCGCAAACGGAUUCUCCGGUGCGCUCCCAAGCUCUCUCUACAACCUGUCAUUGCUGAGGAGCCUUCAGGUUGAGGGGAACACGCUGCAAGGAAGCAUCCCUGCCGACAUCGGCGACAGGCUCCCGGCCAUGGAAAAGCUUGUCUUGUCCCGGAACAGAUUCAGCGGCGCCAUCCCUCAUUCAGUCACCAACCUCUCCUCUCUCACAGCACUUCGCCUUGGGUGGAACCAGUUUAGCGGCCACGUACCUCGCACGCUGGGGAGGUCGCAGGACCUGCGGUACCUGGAGCUGGCUGGCAACAAGCUUGAAGCAGACAACAGCAGGGGAUGGGAGUUCAUGGAUUCGCUUGCAAACUGCACCCAGCUACAGUAUCUGGCCCUCGACAACAACUCCUUCAGAGGGCAGCUGCCAGGUUCAGUCGUAAACCUCUCAACAAGUCUCGAGAAGUUUUUCAUAGGCUACAACAACAUCUCAGGGGAAAUCCCUUCAGACAUCUCCAAUCUGGCAGGCCUGAAGGUGCUGCAGGUAGCAAAUACCUCCGUGUCAGGAGCUAUUCCAGAGAGCAUCGGGAAGCUAGCAAACCUUGUCAUGUUCUUCAUGUUCAACAAUGCCUUGUCAGGCCUCGUGCCACCAUCUGUCGGGAACCUCACCAGGUUGAACUGGAUCCUCGCGUACAAUAAUAACCUGGAAGGACCAAUCCCAGCGAGCCUAGGGAAACUCAAGGACCUCAACAUUCUGGAUAUGUCCAAAAAUCGCCUGAAUGGCUCCAUUCCCAGAGAGAUCUUCAAACUGUCUUCACUUUCUAUACAACUAGACCUGUCAUACAAUUCCCUUUCUGGACCCUUGCCAUCAGAGGUUGGUAGCUUGACUAACCUUAAUUGGUUGGUACUAUCAGGAAAUCAGUUACGCGGUAGGAUACCUGAAAGUAUCUCGAGUUGCACGGUCCUGGAAUACCUGUUAUUGCAUAAUAACUCGUUUGAAGGAAGCAUACCAACAAAUUUGAAGAAUAUAAAGGGGCUCACCACGGUAAGCUUGUCAAUGAACAAGUUGUCCGGUACGAUUCCCGAUGCCUUCGAUGGAAUUGCCACUUUGAAAGAGCUGUAUCUGGCACAGAACAACUUGACUGGGUCAAUCCCAGCUGUUCUACAAAAUUUGACAUUGCUGUCGGUGCUAGAUUUGUCGUUCAAUAAUCUGGAAGGUGAAGUGCCAACUGGGGGCGUCUUUAGAAACCUAACCUAUGAAUGGGUCCAAGGAAACAGUAAGUUGUGUGGUGGAGUACAUCAGCUUCACCUGGCUCCAUGUUCCUCCUUAUACCCUGUGAGAAAUCACAAAAAGUCUCUUGUAGUACCUCUCACAGUAACAGGGUCACUCAUGCUACUAGUGUCAGUUAUUGUUAUUGUUUGGUUACUCCACAGGAAGCUCAAAGAAAGUAACAAGUUUCAUAUGCUACCUUUAACUAUUGACAAACAUCAGAGAGUGUCUUAUCAAGCAAUUUUCAACGGAACUAAUGAGUUCUCAGAGGCCAACUUACUUGGUAAAGGAAGAUAUGGUGCUGUUUACAGAUGCACCUUGGAUGAUGAGGG